UUCCAGUGGGUUAGGCGUCGUGAGCGACGUUGUGAGCAAACGGGGACGAUGGAACGUUUACGAUCUUGUAUUAGGUCGCGGCCCGGAGGCGGACUUCCGCUGUCUUCUUUGCAGACGAAGUUGCCUGACGGUACAUAAGGUUCUAUACGGUACAAUACCCAAGACGAGAUUGGCAACCGAUAGCGGCGGAGCAAUUUCAGCGCGGUCGAUGUAACGGAAACAAUCUUUGAUCCACA